rnacentral:rRNA from 1 species
GAAUUGUUCGCAAUGGGCGCAAGCCUGACGACGCAAUGCCGCGUGGAGGAUGAAGAAUUUCGGUUCGUAAACUCCUUUCGACCGAGAUGAACGCGUGCCGACCUAACACGUCGGCAGGGUGACAGUAUCGAGGGACGAAGCCCCGGCUAACUCCGCGCCGGCAGCCGCGGUAAUACGGGGGGGGGCGAGCGUUGUUCGGAAUUACUGGGCGUAAAGUGUUCGUAGGUGGCCUGCUAAGUCAGAUGUGAAAUCCCUCGGCUCAACUGAGGACCUGCAUCUGAUACUGGAAGGCUCGAGUGCAGGAGAGGAACGCGGAAUUCCAGGUGUAGCGGUGAAAUGCGUAGAUAUCUGGAGGAACACCGGUGGCGAAGGCGGCGUUCUGGACUGUUACUGACACUGAGGAACGAAAGCCAGGGGAGCAAACGGG